CGGGCCGUUCACCAGUCGGAGCGAAGUCUGCUCUGAAAUGUCUGAGUCUGCAAAUGCCCCAAAGGAAUAAACACUCAGCUUCCAGCCAUCGGAUCUUAUUAAUCACUGGCCUGUAAGAUUGAAGAGUCCUUUAUUAUCACAUUUCUGUUCCCCAUGAUGGUAAUUAUAGACUGUGAUCAAGCGGU